AACUUUCAUCAUACUCAUUUGUCAUGAGAAAAGGAUAAGUGGGUUGAGGUUCUCCAACUACAACCUUUUCAUCUUCAACUUCUUCGAGUACUCUUACAAUUUUAAGAAAGUUUUUGCAGCAAGGUAGACCUCAGUUUGCUAUGUUUUUGCCACUGCACUGCCUUAAAAAAAUAUGGAAUAAUAUUGCACAAAAAAAGACACAUGACGCUUGGUGUUUCAACAGGUAUUUUGUCAACUAUAGCGUCGCAUCAAAAUAACCUAUUUUGGCUGGCCUGAAGAAUAUGUACAUAUAAAACGCGUAUGAGCAGUGCAAUUAUAAAUGUAAUAUGUAAGCAACAUAUGCGUGUAUAUAUUAUCAACCUUUUACUAUUAGUCGCCC